AAUGAUGUUAAAAAAAACUGGUCCAUUUCCAUUUUAUUAAGUUCCAGUUAUAAUUUUUAAUGUUUUAAAUCUUGGUUGUAGCCUUCAAAAACGUGAAAUCAUUUUACUGUUAUGUUUGGCCAUUUACUUUUUCGCUUUUACUACAUCCUAGAAUUGUUCAUUAAUUGUGAGGUUUUUAUGGAAUUUGCAACAUCAAGUUAAACCGAGGUUCUUUGGAAGUUAAAAUGUCAAGCAGAUUUUUAUGUUACGGUGACUACAUUUUGUAAGUUACAAAUAUAGUUCGCCAAGACAGCAUAACGGUUUCUAAACAACUGCGCAUUAAUACCACAAUGUUGUAUUUUCAUGUGUCAAGUUCGCAACGCGCAUUAAUCCCAAAGGCUGAAAAGCCAGCAGCGAUGAGUGCUCCGCCUCCGCGCUGACUAGCGUUGACGCAGAAAAUGACUCUCAGGGGGUUAUCGAUGGAGGAGCUCCUUAAAAAGUUGAUGGAAGAAGGCAUUGAUGUGUCAGACGACGAGGCGCAAAGGUUUAGAGAUAACGAUGUAGAUGGAGAGACGGUAGACUGUGGACUCACUGAGACCAUGGUUGCAUAUCUUUUUGACAAGUCUUUCAAAAAGCAGCUGAAGUUCAGAGACUUCACAAACCGCUACAAGGAAGUCAUCAUCACUUUACAACCGGUCGACCCAUUUGAAGGUACAGUUGAAGGUCCAGUGUCCCAAGCAAACCAGAGUUCUAUACCUUCUUGCCUGCAGUUAUUUCCAUUCCAAAAUUCCCACAAGAUGUCCAGAGUCGCUUGGAUCUCAAAGAACCAGUCCAGAAAGAACAGAAGUACCGAAACAAAAUAAUUGGGACUCUUUAUGAAAUGCUGUCACAGUACACAAUGUACCCAACCCACUCAGACUACAUCCAGGUCAUCAAAGCCCUGAUUGUGAAGUAUCCUUUCUUAAGAGAUGUACACGGAAAUGGUUAUGACAUCUGGCACAGCCAACUCAAGAGAAAGUUCAAAGCAGAACGGGCUCCCCUAAUCAGCAACGAAGAAGUGAACCGGGUUAAAGAAAAGUUUGGACGCACGCAGAAACAUCGGACCACAGAGGAAUCCAGCAGCUCCUGUCUGAAGAGACUGAAGCCCUCUCUCGUAAAUCCUCACACCCUCAGCCUCUAAGAGCUAAGGAUUCGUGCUUUGUGGGGGAAGAUGCAGCCUCCGUUGAUGCUCAUAUCAAGGUGCUAAAUGAUCAGCACAGGACGCUACAUCCUGACACAGCACUGGUGAAAGACCGCAUGACAAAAACCUUUGCAUGGAGACGUCGAGAGGUAGCUGAAGGAAUGUGUACUGUGGACCUAUUAAAGAGAUAUCCAUUCCUGGGGACAUCUGCAGGGUUGUGUGAUGAGGUUAAUUUAAUGCAUCCCUGCCAAGACAACAUCUGUUGCCGCUUUAGCGAGAACUUCACUGCUGUUCUUCAAAAUGUUCUUCAAAUGACCAAGGAUUUGCCACUGAAGAAGGUCUACAUGGAGGCAAGAGAGAAUGCACUGGCUGAAGACAUUACAGGAAUUGACUUCAAGGGGGCACUUCUCCUCUUGCCAUCCAUCUUCAAGGAGAAGAUAGAAGAUUUCAUCAUCCUUGGAGAGGUAAAUGCAUGAUGCAAUGCAUAGCCUUUGGCCACAAGUUUCAUUCUCGGUGUUUUGUUGGCAUGAAGCUGAAUUCAGCUGCGGUUCAGCAUCACAGCUAAGCUAAUGUAGGGGAAACACUGCUGUUAAUCCACAGACUUACAGAAUGCUCUGGAAAUGAACAAAAGUUUUACAGAUGUGCAUUUUCAGGAUAAAGUGCUUCAGCGUGUGUCUGCUAUAUCUGUCAGCAGUGUCAAAUAUGAACUUGAGGAUGUUUUUGUAGUUGGCCAUGUACACACUGAAGCCAUACCUAUAUUCUUUAAAAUCAAGUAUAUUUUGAAUGUUGAUACUUGUUGGGUAUUGUGUGGGAAACUGUUACUUCCUUGCACUUAUGAAUGUCAUUUCCAUGCUUACCAAGUGGCAGUUCACAAUGACUGGAUCCUGUUCAAUCCAGGAAAUGAAUUAGACUUUCAAGCUCUAGACACCUAUUUAGUUGAUGAUAGGCUGUUUGUGUCCUUGAGGUAUUCUGUGUGACGUGAUUGCAAGCACAUUUUCCACUUUGUCUAUAUAUAUGACAUAUAUAUAUUCUGGCUUGUUGAAGUAGAGCAAAACAUUUGUGUGGACAGUUUUUUAAAUACAUGCCAUCUCUGUGAUCCGUCAAAAACAUUGUGUUCAGGUGUUUAAUGUCUUUAUGUGAUUGUUUACUUUUUUUUAAAUGAAUGUAUUUUUCUUGACAUGUCCUAUGGCAAUAUAAGAAUGUAAUCAAGGAUGUAUUCCUGUGGUUGUUUAAAUGCUUUGAUGUGAUUCUAUUAUCGAAAAUAAAUGGUUAAAUAACCAAAUAUUUUGGA